rnacentral:rRNA from 1 species
AUCGAACGCUGGCGGCAGGCCUAACACAUGCAAGUCGAGCGGAUGAAGGGAGCUUGCUCCUGGAGUCAGCGGCGGACGGGUGAGUAAUGCCUGGGAAUCUGCUUGGUAGUGGGGGAGAACGUCCGGAAACGGGCGCUAAUACCGCAUACGUCCUGAUGGUGCAAGUGGGGGAUGUUUGGACCUUACGCUAUCAGAGGAGCUUAGGUGGGAUUAGAUAGUUGGUGGGGUGAAGGCCGACUAAGGCGACGAUCCGUAACUGGUCUGAGAGGAUGAUCAGUCACACUGGAGCGGGGACAGGGACCAGGCUACUAAGGGAGGGCGCAGUGGGGUAUAUUGGACAAUGGGCGAGAGUCUGAUCCAGCCAUGCGGCGUGUGUGAAGAAGGUCUUCGGAUUGUAAAGCCCUUUAAGUUGGGAGGAAGGGCAGUAAGUUGAUACCUUGCUGUUUUGACGUUACCAGCAGAAUAAGCACCGGCUAACUUCGUG